rnacentral:rRNA from 1 species
AUUGAACGCUGGCGGCAGGCCUAACACAUGCAAGUCGAACGAGUGGCGGACGGGUGAGUAAUGUCUGGACACCUGCCUGAUGGAGGGGGAUAACUACUGGAACCGGUAGCUAAUACCGCAUACCAUCAUAUGUGCCCAGAUGGGAUUAGCUUGUUGGGGGGGUAACGGCUCACCAAGGCGACGAUCCCUAGCUGGUCUGAGAGGAUGACCAGCAACACUGGAACUGAGACACGGUCCAGACUCCUACGGGAGGCAGCAGUGGGGAAUAUUGGGCAAUGGGCGAAAGCCUGAUGCAGCCAUGCCGCGUGGAUGAAGAAGGCUUUCGGGUUGUAAAGUACUUUCGGCGGGGAGGCGUUACCCGCAGAAGAAGCACCGGCUAACUACGUGCCAGCAGCCGCGGUAAUAC